UUAUUGAUAGGUAUGCCUCUGCAUGGAGCUUUUUGGAAGAGUCAAUGGAACGGAUAUGUAAGAUUGGUGCCAUCUUGCGGAUUUCUUAACAAAAUGCAGGUCCCACAAAUAUCUAACUUUCAGAACAGUCCCGAUCUUUCCAAACUUUUUCUAUUUGGUACCAAAAACUACUACUCAACCUUAAUUGAGCAUAUGUUGCGACACAGUGUGGCACGUUUAUGUAAAAUAGCAUUGUUUUAACGAAAUAAUAUGAGUGAUGACGAAUCUGCAAACUCGUUUCGUAAGUUGAAAAAGCAAACACGUGAGCAGUUUGUUUAGGACAGCUGCUAAGAAAAGAGUCAUGAAAUCUGGAUUGUCUAAGAGUCUUAAAUCUUAAAAUGGGUUUUUAAUUGUCAUUGACAAUUAGUGAAUGCAAUUAUAAAAACCAGUGUGUUCACAAUACUAAAUGAAUUAGUGUGGGACAGUUUAACAAUGUAAAUACCAUUUUAAUGCAUUCAUUCCCAUACACGUUUUAACACGCGAGUAAUAUUAUGAACACACAACCAUUUAACAUCGUUACUGUAUUAAAAUACAGUUUAUUUCUGUUUUGCCCAUCCCCCCACACAAACAACAGUCUUGUUUCGAGCGGGGCGUCAGCAGAAAUUCCAAAGAGGAGACGUGCUGGAGGUCUCGUUUCACUCACCCCUCACCCACCUCAACGUGGCCAAAUUCCACUUCAUCGCUUUUUAAACCAAAUGUUGUUUAAAUUGGUUUUCUGUUUAAAUACAAUUCUCCAAUGAAGUUGUAAAAACAACAUUCACAUCUGGGAGAGUAUAGCACAAGGGAUGUGUCAAAUCUAUGACGUUAUUUGAUGAGACAUUAGUCUUUUUAAAUAAAUAUAUAUGUAUGUUUCUUGACCCCCGUGCCUUUUAACAAUAAGCGUGUUUCUGUCUGGAAUAAACUAGAACAUUCUGGUAUUUCUUCUAAUCAAUCCAAUAGAUGUGUAAAAAAUAUGAACUCUAACGCAUGCGCAUUUGGACAUUGCAGUAAAAAGCAAAGUAGAUCCGAACGAUGAAACCGGUUUGGGCCGGAUGAAAAGGGGGGUUUUGCGCCUGCUUUGUAUUCCUCCGCACUGCGCUUCUAACGUCAUCGGUGUAUAUGUUUGAAAAGAGAAAAUAAUCAUCCUGCCUUUUGGGCUACGUGACCAAUCAUAUAUAUGUGUUAGUAAUUACAGAAAAAAAAAAAUUUGUGGUAACUUCGUUUGAUUUCCUUAUAUGUCUCACACUUGUAAAAACUGUUGAAUGCUUUGAAUAACACGUUACAUGUUCCUAUCGGGUGAUUAUACAACAUUUGGCCAAGUAUAUGGCUGUCAUUGUCUAAAUAAUCUCAUCACGCAACCAUUCUAUUGGGUUUCCUUUACACACGCAAAUUAGAGUUUGAAGUGGUCAUAUUAUAAUACUAAUCGAAACCGUGCGGUUUUGAGCGGAACUAUUUGUUUUAGAGCGGAAGAAGCUGACAGUGACCGCAUCACUUCAGUCUAUAAAUAUGUGGGUUCCGUCAACGUUCGUCACAACGGGGUGAGGCGCAUAGGAAGGCAGAGUCUUUUCGGUGGUCUGGUGAUGUGCUUUCGUAUUUCUUUUUGUUAGCAGUUCUUGUUGUUAGACGACGAUUUAGUAACAGUCUUUUUCUAUUUUAAAGUCUUACUUUUGUGCUUAAUGUUUUGAGAAUUAUACAGUACGUUUUAUUUGUCGUGAAGAUGAAAAGAGAUUGUGUUUAACAGUUAAUAUGCUUAAAUAGCUAACGACUGAUGGCCAAUCUAACAAGAAUUCGUGCCGCUAAACUCUCAUUUUUGUACAAAAUCGAUUUAUAACUUAUUGUACUAGUUUCACGUUAACUUACUACGUUUAACCAGCGGACAAAGAGCCUUAUUACCGCUAAACUUAACAGAUACGCUAAUAUAAUGACGACUCUAACAGGUUUAACGAAGCUACAGCUUAAAAUACUGUUAUUUAAUAUACGUUUUUUUCAUGGAACGUGACAAAUGUCUGAUUUUUUCAGUAUUUUAGUUCGAAUUUUGAAGUCUUGAACGACGCCUUCACAAAAUGGCGGAGAGCAGUUUUUAUAGCGAGGGCCAGAACAAGCUAAAGUUAAAAUGGCGUCCACGGCUGUUUUUGUCCGAGCCGAAGCAUAAUCUAACAAGGCAUUUUAAAGUCUAAGCAGAAGACAAGAAUAGGAUUGAACCGCAAGAUGAUUUAUUUGUUUUUGAAAGCCGUAAGAAAAAAAAUCGACACAAAGCGGCUGCCAAUAUAUCCAUCAGGCAUUUAAAGUUCUUAAGUCAACACAACUGCCGGAAACAUUAGGACAUCUUAUUUUUUAUUUUAACUAAGUAGUGGACUUUUUUUAAUCAUUUAUUUGGAAGAAACAUAUCUUCAUUUGAUACUGAUACACGCGACCUGCUGUCUGAUCGUUUUGAAGUAUUUCAACGAGUCAAUGAAAUCAUUUCUUAAAUGGGAGAAUGUUAACAGCUCUACGAUGAAGCAGUAACGACGCCGCUACGCGGUCACUUAUGGACUGAGUCAUAUUACGUAAUCAUUCGACAUGGCAGCAUAGCCUUUUUUGUAUUUUUAUGUUCUAAAAGUAUUUCAGAAGAUCAAGUCUGGUGGAAAGGGAAAAUGGACUGAGUUUUAUUUACCCAGUGAAGAUCUAGUGCUUAGAUGUAUCUACGGAUGGAAGAAUUCUACACAAGAGGGCGAGGACCAGAGGGAGACCAGGGUGAUUCAGAGCUGUACAGGACCAGAGGGAAACCAGGGUGAUUCAGAGGUGUGCAGUACCAGAGGGGAAACCAGGUUGAUUCAGAGCCGUGCAGGACCAGAGGGGAACCGGGGUGAUUCAGAGCCGUGCAGGACCAGGGAGGAUCAGAGGUCAGGGUGCAGAUGCAAGCUGAGAAGAAAAGCAUUAUCCAAAGGGGAGCGAGAUCCACAAGGCAGGGUAGCGUCAGAGCAUCUUUCGCCACCAGGGGGAGAUCAGCUGGUCUAGAUCAGAGCAAGCCGAAGAUGGGUGUCCAGGAGCAGAGAAAGAGGGCGCACAAGCAGGGUGUCAGGGGUCUUCAUCAUAGCAUCUUAAGUCAGGAGGAAGCGUUUGGUUUGUAUGGGUAGAGGUAUUCUGUGCAAUUUUGAAAGUAAACGAUUUCAGCAGUGUAACUUGAGAACACAUUUGCUCGCGAAGCUCUGUUCUUUCCUUUUCAGGCGUGGUGAAUGACAAUGUUUGAAAUUCCGAUGCGUCAUCUGUCCUGUUGUUGGCCAAGUCUGAUUGCCACUGUGAUGAAUGCUGUUAGUGUGCCGAGAAGAUGAUCGUCCUUAUGCAACCACGCACGCCCCCACUGCAUUUCGGCUGUUGGCUCUUGGAAAAGUCGUCUUCGUAUCCGCUUUAAAUCCAUUAGGUCCGUCCUGAAGAGCAAUCCAAGUAUGACGGGUAUUUCGGCUUUGAUGUUCCCAUGCGUCCCUACAUGAAACCGCCACAUCUACUUCCACAUCCGCUGCGUCUGUCCAACGUUUGGUGCCAGGACAGCUUCAUGCUGUCUGCCGGCCCAGGUCACGUUAAAGGUGAUAGAACCAAAAGGGAUUCCAAGCUGUUGUGUGGACCCUUAAAAGUGAAAUUGUUGACCGCUCUGAACAGAUUCUUGUAAAGCUACAAGGAAAGCCUUUGCUUUGGGAUUUAGGAAGGUACCUCGUUGGAUUUGUAUUAACGUUCUUUUUGGAAUUGUUUAACACGUACUCUUAUUUUUCUUCAAUAUUGAAUGUCUGGUUGUCAUGGGCAGUAGGGGUGGGCUGUGGGCAGUUAACCCAAAUCUUUUCCUAGACUUUGCAGCUUGUGAAAGCAGCUUUAAAGUUGGCAAUGGCUUGAAUAUUGCUGUAUGGGGGAAGGAACCACCAGUAUAUCUGCCAGUGGAAGAGUGGCCCUGUUGCAAGCUUUCCAUGGCAGCUAAACCAGCAAUUACAUCUUUGGUAACAUGGCAUGGAAUCAAAAGCUUCACGUUAUUGUAACGCAUCAUCGUGGCAUAAUGUUGUCUCCAUAUUGAAUAGUAUGUUGAUAUUGGUUGUAUGGAUAUUGUCCUUGGGGUUUGUGGAUCUGGGGGGGAUUUUUAAUUGUGACUCUUACAGAUUAACCAAACCCUCAAAGAACAGGGCUGGUGGUCCAACCAAUAUCUGCUCCCUCUCUCCCCCACUUACAGAACAAAGCUACUUCAAUUAAGGCCCAGGCGCUUUUAACAUUUUCUAAUGGCAAGUAAUGAGUUUUCAUGUAAAUGGCUCUCAUUUGCUUUUGUCUGUCAUUGUGUUGUACUUAAAUACAAUUUUAUAGCUAAGUUUAUUAGCAGUAAUUGUAUUAGCUGCUCAUUGUUUGGUUAAUUGUAUUUAGAAAAGGGAUUUGUGUAGGCUUUUCUCCUCCCUUUUGCAUUUUUCAGUGUGCCGUGUCCCUGAAUGCUUUCAACUGAAGAUGUCAUCCUAACAUUUGUAUGUAAAGAUUUGUUUUCGCAUCAAUCAACUUCAGCCUCUUUUGGUCACGUAAGGUCACUAAACAAGCCCAUUUGUUGCUAACGUUUUUCAUUAAAAGUCUGUUGUAAGCUGCUGGAUGAGCACUGCCAUUACAAAUUAGAUGUAAUUUGUAUUGUGUACGUUCUGUAUGUGUUGACAUUUUAAGUUAAUAAAUGCAUAGCCUAUUGUGAUUUAAA